UGCUUCGUUAACCCUGCCGUCAGCCCCACCGCUGCCUCCUCAAUCCGUCUCUCUCUAACCCUCACCCUCUCGCCGCCAUCCAGUUCUGCCAGCCGCCACCAAUAGUGCCAGCCACCACCAAUAUUUUUCUGUCCACCUCUGUGUUUGCAUUCUUCGGUAAAUAAAAUUUGUUUAUUUCGUUAAAUUUAGGAUUAAUUUUAGUUUUAGUUGUUAAUUAGUAUACUGAUUUAGUUAGAAAUAAUUUUUCUGUUUAGUGAAUUUACAUGGUGAAGAUAAAAUUAGAUUAGUUUAUUAGACUUUUGUGAGUUUUAGUGCUGUAAUAAUGUGAUAUUGUUAUUGUUAGUUGUGCUGUUGGUUUUGAAUUGAAAUUGAAUUUUGUUAAUUAGUGAUGCUCAAAUUUGAAUGCAUAUACUUCACAUAGUUCAAGUUAUUCUGUUCAAAUAGGCAUAUUGCUAAAUGUUUCUGAAGUUGGUUAAAUUUACUUAUAUAUAGGUCAAUUUUUGGUUAAACUAAUUUUAUCUGUCUAAUUAAAUAAUUAAUUUUCUAUCAUUCUAGUAGUUCUUUAUUUUAUG
rnacentral:lncRNA from 1 species